CCUACGUGAGGCAGCAGUGGGGAAUAUUGCACAAUGGGGGAAACCCUGAUGCAGCAACGCCGCGUGCGUGAAGAAGUAUUUCGGUAUGUAAAGCUCUAUCAGCAGGGAAGAAGAAAGACGGUACCUGACUAAGAAGCCACGGCUAAUGACGUGCCAGCAGCCGCGGUAAUACGUAGGGGGCAAGCGUUAUCCGGAUUUACUGGGGGUAAAGGGAGCGUAGACGGCUGUGCAAGUCUGAAGGGAAAGCCCGGGGCUCAACCGCGGAACUGCUUUGGAAACUGUAUAGCUUGAGUACUGGAGAGGCAGGCGGAAUUCCUAGUGUAGCGGUGAAAUGCGUAGAUAUUAGGAGGAACACCAGUGGCGAAGGCAGCCUGCUGGACAGAAACUGACGUUGAGGCUCGAAAGCGUGGGGAGCAAACAGGAUUAGAUACCCGUGUAGUC
rnacentral:rRNA from 1 species